AAAAUCCACAUUUAUAGAUGUGCCCUUUUACGUAGAGAUUAAUGUGAAGGGAAUAAAGAUGGCAAUGAUUGAUGUAAGGAAAGCAGAUGAGGGAAUAAAUAACAGAUGUUUGUAACAAGUAAGCUUUUAAGAUCUUCAAUUUCUUCUACUGAAUGAUUUCUUUAUAUUGUGGUUGGACUUAGAUAUUGAAGCAGUACUGCAAGUUGUCAACAGAGUUGCCUUGUUUAUCCCAUUGAGAGGAAGCAUAUGCUCUUGGGUAAAUUACUAUUGACUCAUUCAGAUUAUUAGUAUCCUCAUGGCAUUCUUUUCCCCUGAUUUAUCAAUGGAUCAUAUAAAUGCAUGCAGAAUUUGGCAGAGUUGCUCUCAUCUCAAAACUCGUUGAAUGAACACACGGAGCCUGGAUGUUAUUUUCAAUGCCAACCCUAUCAC
rnacentral:lncRNA from 1 species